AUGAAGAAAAUCAAGUCAGGACAAAAACUGCCAAAAAUAGCAAGUGACUUGUAACUGAAGUUUCCAAAAAUGGAAAGUUUUUGACCUCAAAAACAGAAGUCCAAGGAAGCUUCAAAUGAAAAAUUGUUCAACAUGACAGAUGUAGAUCUUGUUCUCACCUUUCCAAAAAGUCCAAGAACUUGAAAAUCCAAUGUACGGUUUGCAAGAUAUGGCUCA
rnacentral:lncRNA from 1 species